UCAGGACGAACGCUGGCGGCGUGCUUAACACAUGCAAGUCGAACGAGAAUCUACGGAUCGAGGAUUCGUCCAAGAGAAGUAGAGGACAGUGGCGGACGGGUGAGUAACGCGUGAGGAACCUGCCUUUCAGAGGGGGACAACAGUUGGAAACGACUGCUAAUACCGCAUAACACAUUGAAGUCGCAUGGCUUUAAUGUCAAAGAUUUAUCGCUGAAAGAUGGCCUCGCGUCUGAUUAGCUAGUUGGUGAGGUAACGGCCCACCAAGGCGACGAUCAGUAGCCGGACUGAGAGGUCGAACGGCCACAUUGGGACUGAGACACGGCCCAGACUCCUACGGGAGGCAGCAGUGGGGGAUAUUGCACAAUGGGGGAAACCCUGAUGCAGCGACGCCGCGUGAGGGAAGACGGUCCUCUGGAUUGUAAACCUCUGUCUUCGGGGACGAAACGAGACGGUACCCGAGGAGGAAGCCACGGCUAACUACGUG
rnacentral:rRNA from 1 species